GACGAACGCUGGCGGCGUGCUUAACACAUGCAAGUCGAGCGGAAAGGCCCUGCUUUUGUGGGGUGCUCGAGUGGCGAACGGGUGAGUAACACGGGAGUAACCUGCCCUUGACUUUGGGAUAACUUCAGGAAACUGGGGCUAAUACCGGAUAGGAGCUCCUGCUGCAUGGUGGGGGUUGGAAAGUUUCGGCGGUGGGGGAUGGACUCGCGGCUUAUCAGCUUGUUGGUGGGGUAGUGGCUUACCAAGGCUUUGACGGGUAGCCGGCCUGAGAGGGUGACCGGCCACAUUGGGUCUGAGAUACGGCCCAGACUCCUACUGGAGGCAGCAGUGGGGAAUAUUGCACAAUGGGCGGAAGCCUGAUGCAGCAACGCCGCGUGCGGGAUGACGGCCUUCGGGUUGUAAACCGCUUUCGCCUGUGACGAAGCGUGAGUGACGGUAAUGGGUAAAGAAGCACCGGCUAACUACGUG
rnacentral:rRNA from 1 species